rnacentral:rRNA from 1 species
UACGUAGGGUGCAAGCGUUGUCCGGAAUUAUUGGGCGUAAAGCGCGCGCAGGUGGUUCCUUAAGUCUGAUGUGAAAGCCCACGGCUCAACCGUGGAGGGUCAUUGGAAACUGGGGAACUUGAGUGCAGAAGAGGAAAGUGGAAUUCCAAGUGUAGCGGUGAAAUGCGUAGAGAUUUGGAGGAACACCAGUGGCGAAGGCGACUUUCUGGUCUGUAACUGACACUGAGGCGCGAAAGCGUGGGGAGCA